GACGAACGCUGGCGGCGUGCUUAACACAUGCAAGUCGAACGGAAAGGCCCUGCUUUUGUGGGGUGCUCGAGUGGCGAACGGGUGAGUAACACGUGAGUAACCUGCCCUUGACUUUGGGAUAACUUCAGGAAACUGGGGCUAAUACCGGAUAGGAGCUCCUGCUGCAUGGUGGGGGUUGGAAAUUUUCGGCGGUUGGGGAUGGACUCGCGGCUUAUCAGCUUGUUGGUGGGGUAGUGGCUUACCAAGGCUUUGACGGGUAGCCGGCCUGAGAGGGUGACCGGCCACAUUGGGACUGAGAUACGGCCCAGACUCCUACGGGAGGCAGCAGUGGGGAAUAUUGCACAAUGGGCGGAAGCCUGAUGCAGCAACGCCGCGUGCGGGAUGACGGCCUUCGGGUUGUAAACCGCUUUCGCCUGUGACGAAGCGUGAGUGACGGUAAUGGGUAAAGAAGCACCGGCGAACUACGU
rnacentral:rRNA from 1 species